CAGCACCAACCCAGCCACUCAUGGGAAAGUCAGGAAGAUGCCCGUCCAGCACCCGGAGGCCAGCGUUGUCACAGUCAGAAGGCGAGUCAGUGGCCCUUAUGUUCUAGCCCUCAGUUUCUCCAUCCACAAGACAAAGGGUUUGGAGUUUAUCAAGGUCUCAAAAACUGCAACUUAUUAAUAGGAUAGCUAAGAGAGGAAAAUGAGAGGAUCAAAAAUCCAAAAUGCUCUGUGGUGAAAUGAGGUUGGGAAGCACCACAUGACACAUUGCUCCUUAGAGAUGUCAUAAUGCACCUUAGCUCUUUAAAGGCUCUGAAAAGUCCUGCUGCAAAGAAAUGUCUGCUCCGGCAAUGGAGCGCAGUAACGAGCCGUUCAAACUUGUGUCAAGGUGUGGAUCACAGAGGCUGGGGGUCAAGAGGGAAGAGAAAUACAGCGACAAAUGGAAGGCUCUCCCUCAUUAGAGACACAGCCACCAGCAGAGACAAUCAGGGGGUGAGAGGCCCGGAAUCCUCUUUGUGAUGAAAUCCCCAGAGUGGUCCUCGGGUCCCACAGUGGGUGCUCAGGGAUGUAGGCUGUAGGGCUCCAGGCUCUGAGUUGAGGAAAAUUGGAGUUAAAUUUCAGUGAAGUAACCCUGAGCAAGUCAGUCUCUGUCCAUCAGGUUCUUUUGUUUGUAAAAUGGAGGUAGCCAUGAGGAUUGUUCUGAGAAUGAGUUAAAUGGAAAGAUAUGCUCAAGAUGCCAGCGCAAAGCCAGAGACUCAAGGUUCGCAGCUGGUUGGAGCAAACCUCAAUGUCAGUGUGAAUCUUCCACCAUGGGAUUCAAGCUGCCUUGGCUCUAAAGUAAGAUCACAGCUGCAGUGAGCUGACCCCAACUCAAGAUGGAACCAUCUUAGAACAAGCUCUUAGGAUAAAAAGCCAAAGCUCUCUAAUGUGUUCUGUGAUAAAGAAGACUAUGGAACUGACAGUCCAAACCGAGAAACUGGGGAGAGAGAGGAGGCAUUAUUGUCAACUCCAGGUCAUCCAACCUGUUUUAAGCUUUUUGUCAGCAAGAACCAGCCCUAUUUUAUUCAGCCCUGGAGCGGCCUCUCCACCAGGCACACAGCUUAGCACAAAGCAGGCCUCAGAUGCACGCUGGACAAAUGUGCUGGUAUCCUCUGCAUCCUUAUGGCCAAUAUCAGGGUUUGAGCCCCAGAAUUUCUGGAAAACUGGAGGCUCUACUGUUCCAUUCAACCCAGGCAUGAUCCAUCCAGAAACCCAGUGGAACUGAGCCGCGAGCUGGAUUCCAGCUCACAGAACACACCAAGAACUCUGGUGAAACAUCAAGAACUCUGGGGGGUCCCCCCAGAAAAAUCUGGGGGGCACUGCAGAGCUUCUGACACGGCUCUGGGGGAAAUCCCACACGGAUGGGCAGCUGCCUGCAUCUGGCACUGUGGAGGUGGGCGGGCAGCCAUGGAGGAUGGGGAGACUCAUCUUUCUAGACUUCUCCUGGGGACCGCAUUUCCUCCAGCCUCCAGGUCCAGACCAAAAUAGAAUGAGGUAAAUUCAGCCCCUUUCCUGAAGCACACUCAAGGAAUAAACAAGCACCACAAAUACAGUCUUCGGGCUGGGUCAUCUUUCCAACCUCAUUUUUUUUUUUUUUUAAGAGAACCACAGGCUGUUUUAAGAUUCCAAACCCAGAGACAGAAAAAGUGCAGCAAAGCAGGGCGACAAGGGGAAAGAAACUUGACAGUGCUUUGCAGACAGAAACAAGUGACGCAAUUUCCAAAUUCAAGAUUCUCAAAAACAGAGGCUGGGUUGGAACAUCUAGAGAAGGCCAGAGCGGGCUGUUCUAAGACUUAUUCUCACGGUAGCAUCCUGAAGCCGGGGGGGUCCAGGAAGGGGGCAG
rnacentral:lncRNA from 1 species